CUUAGAGAGAUGCCACUAAUUGGGAACUUUGGCUAACACCACUACCAAGUAAACUUGUUCAGUGUUCUGUCUUAGAAUUAUCUACAAUUACCAUUUGGAUCCUUACAAGUGAUGGCAAAAAUUGUGUGCCUUGUGUUGACGCAAAAUCCUGGCGGUGGUGGACCCUGCAUCAGCACAUGAGGACCUGGGAGAUCUGCUUAACUCCAGUGCAGAAUCCAAAUCGGCGUGCGUGGUGUGCGCGGGCGUGCCAGUCAGUUUGACCAUUCAACUGACAAGGAGAUGAUAAGGAGAUGAUAGUUAUUGUGAAGUCCGAGGCAACCGGCCGAUCAGGCCGAUAUAAUCUUGGCACAGUAGCGAUAAUGGUGCAACAAAAUAAAUCAUGACAAAUAUAUCGGCUGUGAAGCCGAUUCCAGUACCUUGAUGAAUGUGAGUGAUUCAUCAGCCAUCCAGCCGAUUUAAUAUAAUUUACAAUAAAUAUCGGCCAGACGGCCGAUAGAAAACAGGAUGUUGUUGAGUUGUUGCCCCGCCAUAGCUAGAGCCACAAGCCGAUGAGAUCUAAACUAACAUCACCACCAAUAUCUUUAGGUGAAACCACAGCGAUGCGCCCGGUAGUUGCAGUCUAGAAAUAUUUAGCAGGACAUUAAUCUGAACCCCGCUAGCCGAUGAUCCAAUCACAACGGAACUUACUCCCAACAACACUCGAAGGAUGGCCAAGAUCAAGAUGCAACAGGCUAUUAAAAAUAGAUCUAUCGUCUAUUCCGACAGAAUUAAUAAUAAUUAAUAUGUCGUAAACGGCAAGACGAUAGAACAGAUAAAUAUCAGCCGAUGCAAGCUUAAUCAAGGCGGGAUAACUGGUGAAUACCGUAGAUCGAGACAGAAGCGAUGCGCCGUAAGUCAAAGAUCCAAGAUACUCGAUAACUGGUAGAUGAAACUAGACGAAACCACAGCGAUACGCCCGGUGGUUAAAGCCUAGAACACCUGGUGACGGAACUUGCAGCUCGCCGGAGAUCGAGGUCGAUGCAGCCCAACUUGCUAGAAGGAACUCGUCGAGAAGCUACAUUACUCCUACUCCUAAUGCAAUGGCGUGAAGCCGAAAAGGUAAAUAAAAGAUAGAUGUGUUGUAUAUUGGUCGUGUGAUUAUUCUUUACAAUGGCCACGUCCCUUUAUAUUUAUAGGGCGGACGUUGGCAUCUAGCCACGCACAAGGCAAGUCACGUACACAAUCUUUUCUAAUAAAAAACUCUAUCUCUAACUAACCCAACUCUAUCUCUAAAAUAUUUUAUUCUAUAAAACAACCUCCCGUACAUGCACAGAUCGGCCGCAUGCAUAAUUAUUCUGGAAGCCUCCCACGCUUGGCAUGCAAAGUGCACCAGAAUCCAUGUUGUAUAUUCUAAUCAUUUUUAUCCAUACGUGCUGGCCUUUCCUUUGUAUCAUCCUUGCCUCUCCUUGCCGAUUAAUCCAAUGAAGCCGAUUUGGACUCCGUGCCCAUAUGCACGCAUGCUAGCUUCUUAUUGUUGUAUGUGACUCCAAUUAUCUUGUACUCCGAAUUUAUAGGAUUGGUCAAAAUCCGGUGUCAACACAGGCCCCCCCAGUUUCGGAGUAUGAAUGCUUCAUGUUCCGAAACUAAUUAUAGAAGUCUGAUACUUGUCUUCAGAGCUAAUGACGUCUGAUUGCAAUAUUCAAAGCCACGUCGACUCCUCUUCAAAUAUAAAGGAUACCAUCGGCAUUGCCGGCAGUAGAAACAACAGAUCAGUCUGUUGACACCAAAACUUGGUGCAGUAACCAGCAAGCUUUUGUUGUCAACACAGCCCCCCAGUUUCGAAGUAUGAAUAUUUCAUGCUUCAAAAUUAAUAUCCAAUAAAUUCUAUAAGCAGCCGAUACUAUUUUUCUUGAACCAAUCAGCCGAUGCAAUUUUCUUUAUUUGCCAAGCAGUCAAUCGGCCGAUACUAUUUUUUUUAUUUCAAUCAGUCGAUGCAAUUUUUAUUUCAUCGGACUUGCCAUCAGCCAGUAGUACUAUCGGCUGAAACAAAAACCCCAUUGGCUGAAAUACAAAUCCAUCGGCUACUAUCCUUGCCGAUACUUGCUUUCUCUUAAAAAAAAAUAUUGUUACUGAUCCUCUUACUCCAUCGGCCAAAAUAUAGCAAGCAACGCCAUCGGCUGAGACAAAAACUACGGCUGAAAUAUAUGAAAUAGUAUUAUCGGCUGAUGCAAUUUUCAAUCGCCGACGUAACUUUUUUAUUUCUUCUUUCAUAUAUCCCUUUGCCCAUCGGCUGAAGUUUCUAUCGGCCGGUCUUCUUCUCUGUUUUUUUAAUUUAUUUGUUGCCCAUCGGCGAGACUUCCAUCGGCUGGCUUCUCUCUCUGUCCAUCGGCCGGAGCUUCUCCUAUCGGCUGCUCUCCCUUUUUUUUUUUUCCAUCGGCCCACUGCUUUCACUCGUUCCUUUGCCCAUCGGCCGACUGCCUCCUCCUUUUUUUUUAUCUGUUCUUUUCCCAAUCGGCUGAACUAAUUUUCCAUCGGCCGAUGCCACGCUUUUUUUUUUCUUUCAAUUCCAACUGGCUGACGCUAAUCGGCCGAUGCCUCUCUCUGUUUUUUUUUCUUUUAAUUCCAACAGGCUGACGCUAAUCGGCCGAUGCCUCUCUCUGUUUUUUUUCUAAUUCCAACUGACUGAUGCUAAUCGGCCGAUGUCUUUCUCUACGAUCGGCCGUUGUUUUUUUUCUUAAUCAGCUGAUACAACUCCAAUCGGCCGAUCCCAUUUUCCAUCAGCCGAUGCAAUUUCCAAUCGGCCGAUCCCUUUUAAUUCUUCCAAUCAGCCGAUACAGCUGCCGAUGCACUUUUUUAUUUCUCUCUUGGCCACCCGCUAGAGCUUUUCCAAUCGGCUAAAAAAAAUGUUGCAUCAGCUGAAAAAUACUUCUAUCGGCUGAAAAAAAAGUUCCAUUGGCUAAAAAAUAAUUCCAUCGGCCACUAUGCUUGCCGAUUAUAUUCCAUCGGCCGAUGCUUUGUUUCCUUUGGCUGAUAAAAAAAAACAAAACUUCAUCAGCUAUUAUGUGCCCAGCCGAUACUUGUUUCCUCUAAACUGGCCGAUAUAUAACAUCAGUAAGGAAUGAUGGUGUCGAUGUUGUAUCGGUUUCCUCCGUAAUUAAUCUAGCAUCAAAUUUAUCUAUACAAUGUGCAGCCGAUUAAAAUUAAGAUCAUCUCUCUGUACCAUCGGCUCUUCUGGUUGGAAUAUUAUAUUGAUUUGAAUUAACUCCAACACGCCAAUGCCGAUGAACUUGAUACAGCUGCUAAAGAUGCUUUUUUAUUGAAUAAAAAUGUGAGCCUUAUAACCGUGUCCCACUGGGCGUGCCAAAAUGUGUUGACGCAAAAUCCUGGCGGUGGUGGACCCUGCAUCAGCACAUGAGGACCUGGGAGAUCUGCUUAACUCCAGUGCAGAAUCCAAAUCGGCGUGCGUGGUGUGCGCGGGCGUGCCAGUCAGUUUGACCAUUCAACUGACAAGGAGAUGAUAAGGAGAUGAUAGUUAUUGUGAAGUCCGAGGCAACCGGCCGAUCAGGCCGAUAUAAUCUUGGCACAGUAGCGAUAAUGGUGCAACAAAAUAAAUCAUGACAAAUAUAUCGGCUGUGAAGCCGAUUCCAGUACCUUGAUGAAUGUGAGUGAUUCAUCAGCCAUCCAGCCGAUUUAAUAUAAUUUACAAUAAAUAUCGGCCAGACGGCCGAUAGAAAACAGGAUGUUGUUGAGUUGUUGCCCCGCCAUAGCUAGAGCCACAAGCCGAUGAGAUCUAAACUAACAUCACCACCAAUAUCUUUAGGUGAAACCACAGCGAUGCGCCCGGUAGUUGCAGUCUAGAAAUAUUUAGCAGGACAUUAAUCUGAACCCCGCUAGCCGAUGAUCCAAUCACAACGGAACUUACUCCCAACAACACUCGAAGGAUGGCCAAGAUCAAGAUGCAACAGGCUAUUAAAAAUAGAUCUAUCGUCUAUUCCGACAGAAUUAAUAAUAAUUAAUAUGUCGUAAACGGCAAGACGAUAGAACAGAUAAAUAUCAGCCGAUGCAAGCUUAAUCAAGGCGGGAUAACUGGUGAAUACCGUAGAUCGAGACAGAAGCGAUGCGCCGUAAGUCAAAGAUCCAAGAUACUCGAUAACUGGUAGAUGAAACUAGACGAAACCACAGCGAUACGCCCGGUGGUUAAAGCCUAGAACACCUGGUGACGGAACUUGCAGCUCGCCGGAGAUCGAGGUCGAUGCAGCCCAGCUUGCUAGAAGGAACUCGUCGAGAAGCUACAUUACUCCUACUCCUAAUGCAAUGGCGUGAAGCCGAAAAGGUAAAUAAAAGAUAGAUGUGUUGUAUAUUGAUCGUGUGAUUAUUCUUUACAAUGGCCACGUCCCUUUAUAUUUAUAGGGCGGACGUUGGUUACUGCACCAAGUUUUGGUGUCAACACCUUGACACUUUUUUUACCAGCUUGCCUUCAUUAUUUGUUAUGUAAUUAUAUUUUUUUUCUCAGCGAUGAUGUAAACAGUUAACAUUUUUGCUUUCCGUUUUAUCCUGUCAAUAUGUGGAUCUGG
rnacentral:lncRNA from 1 species